UUUAAUGGAUGGCAUACUAAAUUCGCAACGUCCUGUUGCAACGUAUGCACUUGUACAUCCUGUACU
rnacentral:sRNA from 2 species